rnacentral:rRNA from 1 species
UGUGUCAGCCGCCGCGGUAAGACAGAGGUGGCAAGCGUUGUUCGGAUUCAUUGGGUGUAAAGGGUGCGUAGGCGGUUUGGAAAGUCAGAUGUGAAAUACUACAGCUUAACUGUAGAACUGCAUUUGAAACUCCCAGACUAGAGUGUGGAAGAGGUGAAGGGAAUUCCCGGUGUAAGGGUGAAAUCUGCAGAUAUCGGGAAGAACACCAGUAGCGAAGGCGCUUCACUGGUCCAUUGCUGACGCUGAGUGCACGAAGGUGUGGGGAGCAAACGGGAUUAGAUACCCCGGUAGUCCACACAGUAAACGAUGUUCACUAGGUGUCGGCCAGGUUUCGACUUGGUCGGUGCCGCAGCUAACGCAUUAAGUGAACCACCUGGGGAGUACACCCGCAAGGGUGAAACUCAAAGGAAUUGACGGGGGCCCGCACA